GCGGGACACGCCUUGGCACAUUGAUUAACUAGGAAAUCACAAAAGUCAGAGGUUACGGGCCUUGUGGUAGAGUGGUGGAUACGGGGCAUUGGUGACUCAGUCGUGUAUGUUGUGUAGUGUUACGUCCCUUUGGGAAGCCGGAAUCCUAGGUCGUGGGUUCGAAUCCCAGAUCCCUAUAAAGUAUAAUCCUGAUGAUACCGAUCAGAUGGAUAAUCAGAGAUACACCCCAACUGACGUCAGCUGAUCCAGGAGAUCCGAAAUAUGAAAUACGCACGAAGACAAUUGGAUACUAAAAGCCGGAACACUUUGGAAUGAUGAUAUCCCGACUCCACCAUAUAUCACUAUGUAGCCACUCAACUUUUCUUCUGGGUAGGAACCUGCCAAAUCUCGCCGUGGAUCAGCGCCAGCGUCUCGUGUUUCAAACCAGAUAUGAAGAAAAAACAGCCGAAAACGCAAGUGACGAGAAGUUGUCAAAAGCGCGGAGUGAUUCUAGCGGGCCAGGAGUGCUUUACGAGGCCGCGUUGUCAGGAACGCACAGGAUAAGUGCUCCACGCGGUCGUAAGUCAAAUAAUUGGGAACAAAUGUUUGUGGACCUGUGCUGAUGAUUGACUUUGGACAUUUUUACAGUCUAGGAUGCUGACGUUAGGCCACUUCUUCACGUGCACGUUUUUUUCCCUUAUUUUUGUUCUGAGCAUUCCAUCUCUCACGCGUCAAUGUGCGUCUUUGAAAGUAUUCGAACAUUACACCAUAUGCUUCCUAUAACUGUGAUGAGGUACACAUGGUCAUAUCGCCCUGGCAUAUCAUUAGUAACUGUACAAUAAGGAAAUACAAAACUCAGUUCAUUAAAUCCGUCACACUGGAUCCACCAUU